AAAGCUUGAUGAGGGCAUUUCAUGAGCAUUUCCUUAAACCUCUCCCAACUUUCAUAAUUUGAUACUCCUUCAAACUGAGAAAAAUGUGAUAUCAUUUUUAAAUUUAU